CCCCUCCAGAUUCCUUGUCGCUCAGAGCUGAAAAUUGGCCUGAGUGGAGAAAACAGGAGGAAAAGUAAAGCUGACGGGCACUUGGGGUCUCUAAUGAGCUGCAAGUUCAUUUCAAACAUCG
rnacentral:snoRNA from 1 species